AGAGUUUGAUCCUGGCUCAGGAUGAACGCUGGCGGCGUGCCUAAUACAUGCAAGUCGAACGCACAGCGAAAGGUGCUUGCACCUUUCAAGUGAGUGGCGAACGGGUGAGUAACACGUGGACAACCUGCCUCAAGGCUGGGGAUAACAUUUGGAAACAGAUGCUAAUACCGAAUAAAACUCAGUGUCGCAUGACACAAAGUUAAAAGGCGCUUUGGCGUCACCUAGAGAUGGAUCCGCGGUGCAUUAGUUAGUUGGUGGGGUAAAGGCCUACCAAGACAAUGAUGCAUAGCCGAGUUGAGAGACUGACCGGCCACAUUGGGACUGAGACACGGCCCAAACUCCUACGGGAGGCUGCAGUAGGGAAUCUUCCACAAUGGGCGAAAGCCUGAUGGAGCAACGCCGCGUGUGUGAUGAAGGCUUUCGGGUCGUAAAGCACUGUUGUAUGGGAAGAACAGCUAGAAUAGGGAAUGAUUUUAGUUUGACGGUACCAUACCAGAAAGGGACGGCUAAAUACGUGCCAGCAGCCGCGGUAAUACGUAUGUCCCGAGCGUUAUCCGGAUUUAUUGGGCGUAAAGCGAGCGCAGACGGUUGAUUAAGUCUGAUGUGAAAGCCCGGAG
rnacentral:rRNA from 1 species